rnacentral:rRNA from 1 species
CAGCCGCCGCGGUAAUACGAAGGGGGCUAGUGCUGUUCGGAUUUACUGGGCGUAAAGCGCACGUAGGCGGACUUUUAAGUCAGGGGUGAAAUCCCGGGGCUCAACCCCGGAACUGCCUUUGAUACUGGGAGUCUUGAGUCCGGGAGAGGUGAGUGGAACUGCGAGUGUAGAGGUGAAAUUCGUAGAUAUUCGCAAGAACACCAGUGGCGAAGGCGGCUCACUGGCCCGGUACUGACGCUGAGGCGCGAAAGCGUGGGGAGCAAACCGGAUUAGAUACCCCAGUAGUCCCUGUCUCUUAUAC